GACGAACGCUGGCGGCGUGCUUAACACAUGCAAGUCGAACGGAAAGGCCCUGCUUUUGUGGGGUGCCCGAGUGGCGAACGGGUGAGUAACACGUGAGUAACCUGCCCUUGACUCUGGGAUAACUUCAGGAAACUGGGGCUAAUACCGGAUAGGAGCUCCUGCUGCAUGGCGGGGGUUGGAAAGUUUCGGCGGUUGGGGAUGGUCUCGCGGCUUAUCAGCUUGUUGGUGGGGUAGUGGCUUACCAAGGCUUUGACGGGUAGCCGGCCUGAGAGGGUGACCGGCCACAUUGGGACUGAGAUGCGGCCCAGACUCCUACGGGAGGCAGCAGUGGGGAAUAUUGCACGAUGGGCGGAGGCCUGAUGCAGCAACGCCGCGUGCGGGAUGACGGCCUUCGGGUUGUAAACCGCUUUCGCCUGUGACGAAGCGUGAGUGACGGUAAUGGGUAAAGAAGCACCGGCUAACUACGUG
rnacentral:rRNA from 1 species